rnacentral:rRNA from 1 species
UACGAAGGGGGGCUAGCGUUGUUCGGAAUUACUGGGCGUAAAGCGCACGUAGGCGGAUCGAUCAGUCAGGGGUGAAAUCCCAGGGCUCAACCCUGGAACUGCCUUUGAUACUGUCGAUCUGGAGUAUGGAAGAGGUGAGCGGAAUUCCGAGUGUAGAGGUGAAAUUCGUAGAUAUUCGGAGGAACACCAGUGGCGAAGGCGGCUCACUGGUCCAUUACUGACGCUGAGGUGCGAAAGCGUGGGGGAGCAAACAGG